rnacentral:rRNA from 1 species
ACCUUUAACAGGGGAAUAACCCGUUGAAAAACGGACUAAUACUCCAUAACACAGGGGUCCCGCAUGGGAAUAUUUGUUAAAGAUUUAUCGGUUGAAGAUGGGCAUGCGUUCCAUUAGCUUGUUGGUGAGGUAACGGCUCACCAAGGCUACGAUGGAUAGGGGAACUGAGAGGUUUAUCCCCCCACACUGGAACUGAGACACGGUCCAGACUCCUACGGGAGGCAGCAGUGAGGAAUAUUGGUCAAUGGAGGCAACUCUGAACCAGCCAAGUCGCGUGAAGGAUGAAGGUCUUAUGGAUUGUAAACUUCUUUUUCAAGGGAAUAAAGUGGGGACGUGUCCCUCCUUUCGCAUGUACCUUGCGAAUAAGGAUCGGCUAACUCCGUGCCAGCCGCAGC